rnacentral:rRNA from 1 species
UACAGAGGGUGCGAGCGUUAAUCGGAAUUACUGGGCGUAAAGCGCACGUAGGUGGCUGGGUAAGUUGGAUGUGAAAUCCCCGGGCUUAACUUGGGAAUUGCAUUCAAGACUGCCUUGCUAGAGUGUGGAAGAGGGAAGCGGAAUUCCAGGUGUAGCGGUGAAAUGCGUAGAUAUCUGGAGGAACAUCAGUGGCGAAGGCGGCUUCCUGGUCCAACACUGACACUGAGGUGCGAAAGCGUGGGGAGCAAACAGG